rnacentral:misc_RNA from 1 species
GACAGAUUACGCAUAUCUCACUCUCAUCCCCAAACCCCAAGUUGUUGAACAAUCCAAGAAUAAAAUUCUUAUCAGUUUGUCUUUUUUGGGAAUUGAAAGAUUACAGAACCAUUCUCAUCUCUUCAACAAUGGCUAUGAAUUCGACUCUUAGCGUUGGUGUGAAUUUAAGCCUACGAUUAGACCCAUUUCUCAAAUUCAAUUCAAAAACGCUACGAUUAUCCAAGCUUGACGCAUGUGGCAGUAGAAGAGGUCUCCAUGUUUGCCGCUCUUCUCUUGCGGAGGAAAAGCAGCAAGCAAUCUCUUUCUCUGAACCUGAAACUCACUUGAUCGAUGCGCUUAUUGGGAUCCAAGGCCGAGGCAAAUCCGCAUCUCCUCAGCAACUACAGGAUGUGGAGCGCGCAGUGAAAGUUCUGGAAGGUUUAGAAGGUGUUUCUGAACCGGUAUGUGAUCAAUUUUUUUUUCAGUUUUAUACUGGUUUUCUAUUUCCCUUUUUUUUCCUAUAGAAGAAAGAAAAAAGGAAAUAAAAUUCUUGUGUAUGGUCUGCUGCUUGGAUACUUGCCCUGAUGUGCAGUUACUAAGUGCUAAAGAGGGUAUGUGUUCUUUUGGUUCAAACUGAAUUAUGAUGCGUUUCAGUUCAUUCAGUUUAAACUGAUUUUGCAUUUCAGUCAAUUGCAUUUAGUUUUUAUGAUUAAAUAAUUCAAUUUAAUUCUUUUUUUAUAAGAAUUUAUUUUACUUUUCCACCUUUAAAAGAUAAAAUUUAAAUAUAGUCAAAUAAAAAUUUGUUUUUGAUUUUUUUGCAAACAUUAUACAUACAUAUAAAAGUAGGGAGGGGAAAGGCCUAUGCUAUUCUUUUACGAUACUAUCAUUGUAUCUACUAGGGUUUUAUUAUGAUUAUAAAUCAUGGUGAACCCAUAUAGAUGUUAUUAUAAUCAAUGGUCAGAGUGUAUAUAUUGUACAUUUAACGGUUGUGCUAAAUAAAUUCUGGAGUGUACAGUGGAGCUAAAUAUUGGAACAGAAUGAGGAGCGAAAGCUUCACUUGAUUGCUUGGAACAAAAUGACAGUGUACGGUGGGAUGUGUUUUCAUAAUCUAUAAUGUUUUUUAAUCUAGCUAUGGUGGCUGAGCAGUAUUGGAGACUAUUGACCGUCUCUGAGUCUUUAGCAUCACGUGCUUUCAGAGCAUGAUAUUAUCCUUGUGGAAGUCUCUUUGAUGCACAGGUGGGUUUCAACCCUAGCUAUGCAUGAAGGUCUACUUUGUUUGGAAAAAAGCUGGUACAUCAAUGUUCCAUGUGGCACAUUGUUAUUUGUUACCAGUUCCGUUGUAGUUACCCAGUCAUCCAGGAGGUCAAAUAGGGUCUUCUCUCCCUCCUUUUUUCAUCGAAUGCCAUGGUUGCUGACCUUAUUGAGAUUGAGACUGUGCAAUGGAAUGCCCCCUUGUCUAUUCUUAAUUCUGGCUUAUGGAAGCCUGAAUCAUUCUCUCUAUUCUGAUGAGUUCUCAAAGAUCUCUGGAUUGCUAUAUUUGGCACGGGAUGGAGACAGAAAUUUUUAAAGUUAAGAGAGUGUGUCACCUUGCUUAUUCUGGGAACUUCUUCAUUAUCUGGAUCUGGUUCAGAUUGUUCCGCUAUCAACUGGUCUGCGGUAUGGAAGCUUCAGCUCCCACCAAAAGUGCUAUACUUUCUCUGACGUGCAAUGGAAGGUUGGUUUCUGAACCUUCCUGAUCACUAUUAUGCUCCUUAUAUGGAAAUGGCAGUUAUGCUAUUUUGGGGAAUUUGGUUUGCUUGAAACCCAUGGAAAUUCAAGGCCAAGGAACUCUCUGUACGACAUAUUCUAUCCAUGUCUUGUGAUGUGUUAUGGCUUUUCCAGGAGAGCAUCCCUCCCCACUCCCAGCGUGCAGCUUACUCACCAAAUGUUCCUUGGUUGCCCCUUCCAGGUAUGGAUACCAAGAUCAAUGUAGAUGCCGCUUGCUUUGUGGAUAUUCUUGUGGAUUGCGCUUUGUAGCAUGAAAUCAUAAGGGUGAGGUAAUGAUGGCUGUUCCAAUUAGCAGAAUUCUCUCUUCUCAGUUCUCCUAGCAGAGGAACAGGCUGUUCUUUUUGAACUUCACGCAGCGAAAGAUGAUGGUUUCCAGUAUGUGAUUGUGGAAGGUGAUUUCAAAAUUCAUAUGGAAGCUUUGGGUCAAGCAACUACUCAAGGCCCUUACCAUGAGCUGGUGGUUAAGGAAUAAGGAUACUAUUUCCUUCUCAUCUUUCUUCUCAUGCUUAUGCUUUCAAUUUGUUCCUCGUUCAGCUAAUAAGGUUGCCCACUCCCUAGCAAAACUCUCUCUAUCUAUUUCUGAUACUCGCAUUUGGAUGGAAGAUCUUCCUCCAGAAUGUUUUGUUCUAGCUUUUUCUGAUGUACUGCGUUGCCAAGUUGGCUAAUCUAUAAAAUUUAUUCUUCUAAAAAAUGGGUUCGGGGGGGAAAGGGGUAGAGAUCAACAUUGGAGCAACAAUACAGUUACAUUUAAUAUCAAUUACCAUAUUGGAUAAUUGUGAAGCAUUUAAAUUGUCUUUUCCUGAUGACUAUCUUUUGCUUCUUGGCAAGUCUUGCAUAUAUAUAUGCCUCUAGUUUUAUGAAAUCCAUUUGCUUUCCCCUGUAUUAAGCUUUGUAGUGUCUAGAAAAGAAAUGUUAUGUCUUGAUUUUGCUUUGUUAUCUGUCAUAAUGCGUUGUUCCUUGCAAGUGCUCAUGUUUUUGAAUAACUACAGACAAACUCAGAUUUAAUUGAAGGUUGCUGGCAAUUAAUGUUUACAACUAGACCAGGGACAGCAUCUCCCAUUCAGGUUAGAGGACACUUCUCUAUCAUGUGUGUGUGUGUGUGUGCAUGCAUGCAUGCGCAUGUUACAGAUAUUAAACCUAUUCUUAGCCUCUCAUCAACAAUUUUAGCUUUUCUGAUGAACAGUUUUUUAAUGUUAUCAAAGCUUAGUCUCUCUGAGCACAAGGUCUAGAAUUUGAAUCUCAGCGCUCCUGUUGUUCAACCCAAGACCUGAUUAGAAAAUUGUGAAUUCAACUUUAAAUGCUUUAGAAUGGCAAAUUGUUCAGCAGGUUUAAUGCUGUUUUGAAAUGGCACGUGUUUCUUCUCAUUGUUUUUGUCCAUAUUUUGUGCUGAAUUAUUUUCAUUUGGUAUGCAUAUGCUUGCAGAGAACAUUUGUGGGUGUUGACUUCUUUAGUGUAUUUCAAGACGUAUACCUUCGGACAAAUGAUCCACGUGUAUCUAACAUUGUAAGGUUCUCAGAUGCAAUAGGUGAGCUAAAGGUAGAGGUAUGAACUCACUCACUAUCUUUUGAUUGUCAAAUUCUUUGGAAAUUUCUAUGUCUAAAUUUAUCUUUUAUUGAAAGAGUGACUGCAAGAACUCUGACAUGACUGCCAGACCAAAUUUAUAAACUUCUAUUGCCAGUUGUAUAAAAUCUUAGUAUAAUUGACCAGACUAGAAACUUUCUUCUGUCAUCAUUUCAGCCUUUUGAGCGUGCACUUCACAUCGUUUGCUAUUGCAUGGAAGAUACAAGUAGAAUCCCCAUAAAUAUUAUGAUGAAGUGUAUGGCUCCUUUCCACCAGAUUUUAAAUUAUGCAUUCCAUAUCAACUUUAGGAGAAAAACAUAAUUUUUGGUCCAAAGCUUCACCUAUCCACUGCAUAACAAUUAACAAAUUAGAAGGAUUUGACACAUUCUUCAUCUUUCCUUUCUUCGAGCAGCAGAUAACCUACCUAAGCAAGAAAACUAUGCCUUGGUAUGGAGGGAAUGAAGCAAAGUGGCUUAAAAACAACUCUGUUCUUGUUAUUUCUAAUCUGAACUUUUUCAUUGACCACAAUUUUUUCUUCGUAUCAACAGAGAACAUUUCUCCUUGAGUUUUCUGUCCUUAUCUUCUGUGAUAAGUGGCCAGCUGGUAAGAUAUCUUUAGUAGUCAUGUGAUGUUAGACAUCCAACUAUUGAGUGAAUUGCAAUCUUGAAUAUCAAGGAGUCUCAAGAUAAAUUCUAGAUGGUACUCGCAUUUACAAUUUGACUUGCUUCCUUUCUUUCAUUUCUUAGAAUUACCUUCCAAACAUAUGCCAUUACAUCAUCACCUGUUUACGUAAUUGAGUUGAUGCUAUUAUUCUGUUAAACAAUUCGGAUAGUCAAAGACAUACUGGUUGUGUCCUGGAUUUCUGUGCAAGAUCAUAUUUCAAUUAUUGUGUCAUAUUGUAUAGCUCCAGCUUUCUUUCUCUGAAAUUUUGCAUUUUUCGUCUUUACACAGGCAGCAGCAGCCAUUGAAAAUGGAAAACGAAUCAUUUUCCAAUUUGACAGAGCGGCAUUUUCAUUCAACUUUUUACCAUUUAAAGUUCCGUAUCCAGUUCCAUUCAGGAUUCUUGGUGAUGAAGCAAAGGGUUGGUUGGACACUACAUACUUGUCCCCAUCUGGAAACCUUCGCAUAUCAAGGGGAAAUAAGUGCAGGGCACCACAUUUGUGCUGCAAAAGAAAACUGAACCUAGGCAAAGAUUGCUUGCAGCCAUUUCUACAGGAACACAAGUUAGAGAGACAAUAGAUGAGUUCAUAUCAUUAAAUAAGAACAUUGCUAAAGACGAAAUAGAACUCCUCGAGGGAGAAUGGCAAAUGAUAUGGAGUUCACAGACGGAGACAGACAGUUGGUUAGAAAAUGCUGCCAAUGGUCUUAUGGGCAAGCAGAUUGUCAAAAAGAAUGGGCAACUGAAGUUUGUGGUUGACAUCUUGCUUGGGCUUAGAUUCUCCAUGACUGGAACAUAUGAGAAAUCUGGAACCAACAAAUACGAUGUUAUAAUGGACGAUGCAGCGAUCAUUGCAGGUCCAUAUGGAUAUCCUUUAGAGAUGGAAACCAAGAUCAACCUAGAGCUGCUGUGUGGUGAUGAAAAGGUCAGAAUUAGCAAGGGGUAUAAUAAUUAUGUAUUUGUGCAUGUACGGACAGAUGGAACAAAGCAGAAAUAGGCCAGUUGGUGCAUCGCAAGAAAGAUUAAAUUUUAUGAUGUUAUACUUUGUAUAUCUACAGCAAUAGGCAAAGGGAAAUGCUAAUUGCAGGCGAUAUUGCCAUUUACUCUUUAGCCAAAACCAGAAAAGGCAGGAUAUUUAGGCCUUGUUUGGUAUAUGACGGUCUACUUCUGAAAAAUAUACUUCUUAGGAAGUUUAUUUCCCAGUAAAUAUAAUUUAGGAUGUUUUCGGUUUUACAUGUGCAUUUUCUAAGAAGUAUAGCUCCAUUCAUAUAGCCGAUCCAAAUUUUUGAGAUAAAGGCU